GCUCAAUCGGUCGGCUUAAGAGUCAGGUCCUUCGGCUUGACUCUUGAGUACUUUUAGUCGAUCAUCAUCGACUGAAGUAUGCCCGGCCCAGCGGCUGCUCGGGCGUCUACGGGCUUCUCGGCCCAGCAAAGGAGGCCCACCGAGAUGGCGUAAAUUAGGUCAAGGACGAAACAUCAGGACAUCUAUAUAAGGGAAAGGAGAAACAACGAGAGGAGGAUCCGAAAUCAGCAACUAACACUUGGCGGCUAGAUUAGGGUUUUCACCUUUCUUCAUCUCGCCGUUAGUUGUACCUUUCCGGUAGCUCGUCGAGCCACCGGCUUCCUUUCUAUCGCAUUCUCUCCGUUUCUCUUGUAACCGACUGAACGUUCGCCCGACCAUAAAUAAGACGUCUUUGUUAAACCCACAUCUUCUUUAUUACCGUUUUCCGAUCAAACACAUUCACAUAUGAUUGACAGGAUCGCAACCUUUUAAAGUUCCUCUGCAUCAAGUCAUUCAGUAGUAAUGACUAUGUGUCUUCACCGGGGAUAAUGUGUUGAAUAUCAUCACUUUGGUGUCUUCUAUAUUUUUGGUUUUAUUGUUUCAUUAUCCUAGUUUCUAUUUGGUCCUAAUUUCUACUGAUUUCUCAAAUAAUCACAUGUAUUAUUCUUUUCAUGUCGAAUUUGUUGAUUUUCCGCUCUUACCUAUCGUGUAUCACAUUGCGAUAUCUAUCAAUGUCAUGGACUGUUAUAGUUGAUUCCCCUCUCAAAUGGAAAGAUUUAUUUGAUUUCCAGCUAUCUAGUGUAGGAGAAGGCACAACUUUGUCAUUUGAGAUAUUCAUGAUUAUUCAUGUCGAGCAGUUGACAUUUAAAGCACUUGGAGGACGUUUUAGAAAGAGAGAAACUCACUAUCCAUAUUAAAGCAAUGAGCAUGAACACAAACUAUAAAAAAAGGUACAAAGAGAACGUAACCAGGAAGAUUUGGAGAUGUUCAAAAAUACAUGCAAGGUUGAUUACUUUCUACUAUAUGAAUGGUGAUUGAGACUGCAUAAAUAUGUUAGAAAACAACAUGGAGAAACAACUAAAGCUUAAAAGAGAACACUGGCUGUAUAGCUCAUCAUUCUUUGGAAAAUAGCUCGAGUUGUUUAAACGCCCUACUGAUAACACUGAGUCAAGGCUUGGUGAGAUGAAUAUCAGAAGCGCCUCGUGCAGCAUCUGUAGUGGGAGCAACAUCGAUACCAAUAUUGGCUCUCUUCAAACCAGGAGCAUCCAUAACCAGUCAUCCUACAAUAUAUAUGCUUCAAUUCUUGCAACUUUUUCACAAUCUCGUACUUCUGCUAUGGCUGAUCGCUGUAGAAAGAGAGCAUGUUCAUGAACAAAAAAAAACUCUUCUUAACCAACCUGGGAAGACAGCAGCAAAGGCAUCAGCUUUCUCAACUGUUCAACGGGAACAUCAGCCAGGCUUACGUCUUUGUGAUUACCAUGUAGAGAAGCUGAUGCUGAUGGAUACGUGUUUGAUCCCAUAUCAAGCCUAUGUCAGAGUCUAUUUGGCAAUAGCAAGUUGAUCUCCUAUUUUGACCCCAAAAAAAGAAAGUUGGUCUCCUAUAAGAAAACCAAUACUACAUAAGAUUAAAGCCAAUGAUAGAAGAAAAUAGACAUAUAUUAACCGAUGAUCAUCUUUAUGUUGAUACUGAUACUGUAUUACUGUAUCAUGUCUUGGAGGAUCAAACCAAGGCAACACACCAACGAAUUCACGUGGACCACCAAAGCUUUUUUAAUAUCAUCAAAAGAAAAAGGUUUUAAAGGUUAAAUCAAUAAAGAGAAGAAACAUACUAAAACUUGAAGUGCAGCAAAACAAAAUCAGUUCGUAGGUACCUGCUCUGGAGAAAUAUAUAAAGAAAAUAUUGUACCUUUAUAUUGGUUGGUGAUGGAUCUGACUCGAGCAAACACAGAGUUCAGGUUGUUAUCAACGACCUGUUAAGAAAGCAAUAGAUUAAUUAGCAAUGUCGACAGCAUAACUUAUAAUCAAUAGAUCACAAAGAGGUUAAUCAAGGAGACUAAAAAUACCUUCAACCUCAGAAAAUACCGUCGAUAUAAAUAUUCCUCCAAAAAAAUCAGCCUAACAAUCAUCAGUAUCCUAACCAAAAAAGAAAAAAAAACAAAAGUAGGAUUAUAUCAUUACUAGGAAAAUCAACCCAAUAAUAGUACAAGGUUCUCUCAGGAGCACGACACAUCAAAUUUUUAAAUGUUAGAGAUUGACAUGUCAUUAACUGAAAAAAAAGGUUGAAAAGCCAAUCAAAAUAUUUUGUUUCUCCACGUCAUAUUUGUUUGGUCUUGUGCUUAUAGAGAAUCUUAAGGACGUCGGUGAUUUUGACAGUCUCCGCCUCCAAAUCAUAAGCCGCCCCUGUGCAGCUUCUUUGCAUGGUUUAUCAACUUUCUCGAUUCCCAAUUUCGACAGCUCCGCCUCCAAAUCAUACGCCGACUCGAAGAUAACAUAAACCCCCUUGCUCUCAACGAAGCUUGGCCUCCUCCGUCGAAAGCUCUGAUUUUGGAGAUUUCUUUAAAGUACCCAUCGUUUAUAGAUUAAGAAAGUUUGGCCCUUGAUCUUGAUUUUAGGAUAUAAGUGUAUUGCUGGAAGUUGCUUUCAUCAUUCAUCAUUGAUGAUCGGGAUCGAGUAUACUGUAGAGUGAAAGGCGUGUUUGUACAGUUUCACCUCUCCCGGAGGUCCAAUGUACCCGACAAGGGCUGUUCGUCAUGCAGCCUGGGACGCUUUGGAUUCCCUCUUUCCGGUGGGGCGUUACCCGAGGCAUCUCAUCAGUCUAUUUUUCAGGCUGUUGUAUCCAUGGUACUGGCCAUCAUCGUGCUGGAACUCUGUGGUUUCUUGCGUUAAGGCGGUACUCUAUUCCAUCGUAAGGCUCAUCUUUUCACGGCAAGAAAAGCCAAGGCAAAGCUGAAUAGCUUCUACAUAUGAUUGAAGCUCGCUGCAGGAAUCCAAUCCCUUGUGUAUAGAAUGUGAUUUUGGUCACAAUGAGGCACACCAAGAGAACUUUACAUAAGCCCCUCUUUGGUCACUUUCCUAUCCUCAGUAACCUUAUAACUCAUAUUACAAAUUGUAUUGUCAUGACUGGACACAACUUUUCGAGUGAAUACAUACAGAAAAAGUAGGGCACA